rnacentral:rRNA from 1 species
CACGUAGGGCGCAAGCGUUGUCCGGAAUUAUUGGGCGUAAAGAGCUCGUAGGCGGUCUGUCGCGUCUGCUGUGAAAACUCGGGGCUUAACCCCGGGCCUGCAGUGGGUACGGGCAGACUAGAGUGCGGUAGGGGAGACUGGAAUUCCUGGUGUAGCGGUGAAAUGCGCAGAUAUCAGGAGGAACACCGGUGGCGAAGGCGGGUCUCUGGGCCGUAACUGACGCUGAGGAGCGAAAGCAUGGGGAGCGAACAGG